CAAAGAGCACCCAGUCAGUUUACGCUGACUCACCCUGACCCCUUAUUGAAGACAGGCAGGUUCCCAAAGAGCACCCAGUCAGUUUACGCUGACUCACCCUGACCCCUUAUUGAAGACAGGCAGGUUCCCAAAGAGCACCCAGUCAGUUUACGCUGACUCACCCUGACCCCUUAUUGAAGACAGGCAGGUUCCCAAAGAGCACCCAGUCAGUUUACGCUGACUCACCCUGACCCCUUAUUGAAGACAGGCAGGUUCCCAAAGAGCACCCAGUCAGUUUACGCUGACUCACCCUGACCCCUUAUUGAAGACAGGCAGGUUCCCAAAGAGCACCCAGUCAGUUUACGCUGACUCACCCUGACCCCUUAUUGAAGACAGGCAGGUUCCCAAAGAGCACCCAGUCAGUUUACGCUGACUCACCCUGACCCCUUAUUGAAGACAGGCAGGUUCCCAAAGAGCACCCAGUCAGUUUACGCUGACUCACCCUGACCCCUUAUUGAAGACAGGCAGGUUCCCAAAGAGCACCCAGUCAGUUUACGCUGACUCACCCUGACCCCUUAUUGAAGACAGGCAGGUUCCCAAAGAGCACCCAGUCAGUUUACGCUGACUCACCCUGACCCCUUAUUGAAGACAGGCAGGUUCCCAAAGAGCACCCAGUCAGUUUACGCUGACUCACCCUGACCCCUUAUUGAAGACAGACAGGUUCCCAAAGAGCACCCAGUCAGUUUACGCUGACUCACCCUGACCCCCUUAUUGAAGACAGGCAGGUUCCCAAAGAGCACCCAGUCAGUUUACGCUGACUCACCCUGACCCCUUAUUGAAGACAGACAGG